rnacentral:rRNA from 1 species
UACGAAGGGGGCUAGCGUUGCUCGGAAUCACUGGGUGUAAAGGGUGCGUAGGCGGAUCUUUAAGUCGAGGGGUGAAAUCCUGGAGCUCAACUCCAGAACUGCCUUUGAUACUGAAGAUCUUGAGUUCGGGAGAGGUGAGUGGAACUGCGAGUGUAGAGGUGAAAUUCGUAGAUAUUCGCAAGAACACCAGUGGCGAAGGGCGGCUCACU